rnacentral:rRNA from 1 species
GACGAACGCUGGCGGCGUGCCUAAUACAUGCAAGUAGAACGCUGAAGGAGGAGCUUGCUUCUCUGGAUGAGUUGCGAACGGGUGAGUAACGCGUAGGUAACCUGCCUGGUAGCGGGGGAUAACUAUUGGAAACGAUAGCUAAUACCGCAUAAGAGUAGAUGUUGCAUGACAUUUGCUUAAAAGGUGCAAUUGCAUCACUACCAGGUGGACCUGCGUUGUAUUAGCUAGUUGGUGGGGUAACGGCUCACCAAGGCGACGAUACAUAGCCGACCUGAGAGGGUGAUCGGCCACACUGGGACUGAGACACGGCCCAGACUCCUACGGGAGGCAGCAGUAGGGAAUCUUCGGCAAUGGACGGAAGUCUGACCGAGCAACGCCGCGUGAGUGAAGAAGGUUUUCGGAUCGUAAAGCUCUGUUGUAAGAGAAGAACAAGUGUGAGAGUGGAAAGUUCACACUGUGACGGUAUCUUACCAGAAAAGGGACGGCUAACUACGUGCCAGCAGCCGCGGUAAUACGUAGGGUGGCAAGCGUUAUCCGGAUUUAUUGGGCGUAAAGAGAGUGCAGGCGGUUUUCUAAGUCUUAUGUGAAAACCCUUCGGUUUAACCGGAGAGGGGCAUCGGAGACUGGGAUGACAUGAUGCACACCACGGUAGGGGGGCUCCAGGUGUAUGGGUGAAAUGCUUC